UUUCUCUUACUACAGUUGUCAGAGGAGAAAAAACUAGGAAAGAAUUUGCUAUUUUACUGCAAAGAUAUAGAGCUGCUGUUGUUAUACAAAAGCAGAUUAAAGACAGGAAUGCUAGGAAAACAUUCAAGAACAUUAAUGAUGCUUCAUGCAAUCAGAGAUGAGAAGGAAAGGGAGUGGAUGGUUCUCAACAGUGAAGAAAGUGUUCAAAUCAUCUUCUGAGGACUUCCAUGUGAAAAAGCAUGCUGCAACAGUGGUUGAUGAUAAAUUAUAUAUCACCGGAGGCAAUUGUAAAGGUCGAUUCCUAUCUUAUAUCCAGGUUUUUCCACAGACCUUAAUUUAUACAUAUUGAAGUACUUUUUGUUUUUUAUGGUUUUUGUUUUAUUUUUAUAGAAAUAUGUUGAUUUUGAAGUUGUU